rnacentral:ncRNA from 1 species
GUUUGGUCCUAGCCUUAUCCUCAACUGCUACUCAACUUACACAUGCAAGUAUCCGCAUACCCGUGAAAACGCCCUAAUCCCUCCAACAGGAAAAGGAGCUGGUAUCAGGCACAAAUAUUUUGCCCAUAACACCUAGCCACGCCACACCCCCAAGGGUAUUCAGCAGUGAUAAACAUUGUCCAUUAGCGCCAGCUUGACUCAGUCAGAGUAGGCAGAGCCGGCCAAUUCGGUGCCAGCCGCCGCGGCUACCCCGCUCGGCUCAAGUUGACAUCAUCGGCGUUAAGCGUGAUUAAAGUAAUACUAGAAAUUAGAAUCGAACCCCAACCAAGUUGUGAUACACUUGUUUAAAGAAGUCCUCAAACGAAAGUUAUUCUAAUCGACACUUGAAUCCACGACAAUUGAGACACAAACUGGGAUCAGGUACCCCACUAUGCCCAACCGUAAAAUAUUUAACCACAUCUACAACCGCCAGGGAAUUACGAGCCCACCUUAAAACCCAAAGGACUUGACGGUGUCCCACCCACCUAGAGGAGCCUGUUCUAUAAUCGACACCCCCCGAUACACCUCACCACCCCUAGCACACCCAGUCUGUAUACCUCCGUCGCAAGCUUACCAUGUGAACGCUUCAGUGAGCUUAAAGAUCCAACCAUCAACACGUCAGGUCAAGGUGCAACUAACGGGGUGGGAAGCAAUGGGCUACAAUUUCUGCCAUAGAACACACGAAAAACUGCAUGCAACACAGUCAUGAAGAAGGAUUUAGUAGUAAAAAGAAAGCAGAGCGUUCUUUUUAAUCAGGCACUGGGACGCGUACACACCGCCCGUCACCCUCUUCAAGCACAAACAACCAAGAAGAGGCAAGUCGUAACACGGUAAGCGUACUGGAAGGUGCGCUUGGAAAAUCAAAAUGUAGCUUACCUAAAGUAUCUCGCUUACACCGAGAUGGACGUCAAUAAACAGACCAUUUUGAGCCCGAAACAAGCCCACAACCCCCCCCCCACCUUCCACGAAACAAAACAAAACAUUUUUUUCAUUUAGUAACGGUGACUAAAAAAUAAGUAAGAGCUAUAAAUUCAGUACCGUAAGGGAAACAUGAAAUAAAAAUGAAAACCCAAGCACAGCACAGCAAAGAUUAAAUCUUGUUCCUUUUGCAUCAUGGUCUAGCUAGUUUUACCAAGCAAAACGAACUUUAAGUUUGACCCCCCGAAACUAGGCGAGGUACUUCAGAACAGCUUACAGAGCCAACCCAUCCCUGUUACAAAAGGGCGGGAAGAUUUUGAAGUAGAGGUGACACACCCAUCGAGCCUAGAGAUAGCUGGUUAUUCAGAAAUAGGAUUUAAGUCCAACUUUAAGUUCUUUUAGUCAUACUAGACAUACCCUCAACUUAAAAGCCAUUCAAAUAAGGUACAGCCUAUUUGAGCAAGGAAACAGCCUACAAUACCGGGUAAUGAUCCCUACAAACGUGGCUAAGUAGGCCCAAAAGCAGCCAACUUCUUAAAAGCGUCCAAGCUUUCCCACUAUCACUUACUGAUCCCCCAAUUAAUGCCAAACCCACAACCACUACUGAAUGAUCCCAUACCCCCCCCCCAUGGGAGCCAUUAUGCUAGAACUAGUAACAAGAAGAAGAACUUCUCCUAAAUGCAAGCGUAAGCCAAAAUGAACCAAUCACUGGCACUCACCGCUUCAACCCGCAGUAUUAACCCCCGAGAAAACCCUACUGCCAACAGCGUCAACCUUACACCAGGGCACUUCAGGAAAGAUUAAAAAAGGUGGAAGGAACUCGGCAAACACCUGCCCCGCCUGUUUACCAAAAACAUCGCCUCUUGACCAACCAUAAGAGGUCCAGCCUGCCCGGUGACUAAUAGUUAAACGGCCGCGGUACCCUAACCGUGCGAAGGUAGCACAAUCACUUGUUCUCUAAAUCAGGACUAGUAUGAACGGCCUCACGAGGGCUAUACUGUCUCCCCCCUUUAAUCAGUGAAACUGAUCUCCCCGUGAAGAAGCGGGAAUAUCCAAAUAAGACGAGAAGACCCCAUGGAACUUUAAACUUGUACCACUGCCCGCAAUACACCAUACCAACUAAGGCAUCAUGACUACUAGUCUUUCGGCUGGGGCGACCACGGAGAAAAAUUAAACCUCCACGAUGAAAAAGGACACCCUCCCGCAAUUCCAGAGCUACUGCUCUAAAAAUCAACAAAUUGACAUAAUUGACCCAAACACUUUGAUCAACGAACCAAGCUACCCUGGGGAUAACAGCGCAAUCCAUUUCAAGAGACCCCAUCGACAAAUGGGCUUACGACCUCGAUGUUGGAUCAGGGUAUCCUGGUGGUGCAGCCGCUACCAAAG